rnacentral:rRNA from 1 species
CGCCUCUUGAAUAAAAAUAAGAGGUCCAGCCUGCCCAGUGACAAAUGUUCAACGGCCGCGGUAUCCUAACCGUGCGAAGGUAGCGUAAUCACUUGUUCUUUAAAUGAGGACUAGUAUGAACGGCRCCACGAGGGUUAUACUGUCUCCUCUUUCUAAUCAGUGAAACUAAUCUCCCCRUGAARAAGCGGGGAUAUAACUAUAAGACGAGAAGACCCUAUGGAGCUUUAAAUUACCCCUUAAGCGCCAAACCACACAAAAAGGUUUCAAAACUUCACCACACGAACUCUCGCGCCAUAAGGACAACUUUUAGGYUGGGGUGACCACGGAGAAUAAAAUAACCUCCAUGCUGAACAGGCCUCCAAGCCUUGAACUAAGGGCCACAACCCGCCGCACUAACACAUUAACACCCAUUGAUCCWAUGCAUUUUGAUCAACGAACCAAGUUACCCUAGGGAUAACAGCGCAAUCUACUUCAAGAGUCCCUAUCGACAAGUGGGUUUACGACCUCGAUGUUGGAUCAGGGUGUCCCAGUGGUGCAGCCGCUACUAAUGGUUCGUUUGUUCAACGAUUAAAACCCUA